AAAAAAACAAACCCUUGGUUUUCGUGUCCAACGUUUGACCGUUCGUCUUAUUUGAAAAAAUUAAAAAGACAAGUCACGCAUAAAGUAUUAAUCAUGUUUUAUCAUCUAACAACAAUUAAAAUACUAAUUAUAAAAAAAUUUAUAUAAGACGGAUAGUUAAACGUUGGACAUGAAAAUUCAGGGUUUGUCUUUUU
rnacentral:pre_miRNA from 1 species